CGUGGCUACGAGGACGACGCUGGCGGCGUGCCUAAUACAUGCAAGUCGAGCGGAUUGUUCCUUCGGGGACAAGUUAGCGGCGACGGGUGAGUAACACGUAGGUAACCUGCCUAUAAGAUCGGGAUAACUAUCGGAAACGAUAGCUAAGACCGGAUAAUUGGGUUUUCUCGCAUGAGAGAACUAUGAAACACGGAGUAAUCUGUGGCUUAUAGAUGGGCCUGCGGCGCAUUAGCUAGUUGGUAGGGUAAUAGCCUACCAAGGCGACGAUGCGUAGCCGACCUGACGGGGGUGAACGGCCACACUGGGACUGAGACACGGCCCAGACUCCUACGGGAGGCAGCAGUAGGGAAUCUUCCGCAAUGGACGCAAGUCUGACGGAGCAACGCCGCGUGAGUGAUGAAGGUUUUCGGAUCGUAAAGCUCUGUUGCCCUAGACGAACAGCAGGGAGAGUAACUGCUCUCUGUGUGACGGUAUAGGAGAAGAAAGCCCCGGCUAACUCCGUG
rnacentral:rRNA from 1 species